ensembl:lncRNA LINC01505 long intergenic non-protein coding RNA 1505
AGUCCAGGUAAUGGAGCAGAGACUGGAGCAGAGACAAGUUGUUCCCACUGAGCUCUCCUCAGAUUACAGAUUGGUGAUACAUCACAGGGGCUCAUGAAUGUGUCUUAAGCUGGGUCAUUGAAGUGGAAUGUUUUCACAAGACCUCCUCCACUUGCUACUGUGUCCGGAAUUGGUGGGUUCUUGGUCUCACUGACUUCAAGAAUGAAGCCGCGGACCCUCGCGGGAGUGGCAAAUCAAAGGCAUUGCAGCCUCUUUCAUCACUGCCGAUUGCUGAUGCCAACCAUGUGCCAAGUGCUUAAUACGUCACCUUAAAUCUUCUCAUCCACCCUCAGAGUAGCUGCAGCAUCAACCCAGUGCCCUGACUUUCAAGACGACUAUGAAAACACCCCAACUGCUGCUAAAUUACCAGCAACAAGGAUCUGGUGAGUAAGUUAUUUUGGGGAAGUCAGGUCUUGUCAGCGUGCGUCGAGUUUCUUGCAGUCCUGUGUGUCAGUCUUUCUUAAACCCCUCAGAUACCCAGAACCUCUCUGUCUACUAAAAAGAACUGAACUAUUAAUGUCCCUCAUAGAAGAAGAAAGGGAAACCGGCUCCUGUAAAUGUGGGUCAGGAAUCACCAGGGAGGUAAUGACUUGGUCUGCUCUGUGUUCUCUGGCCCUCCUUGGUCCUUCCAUGAAAGCCCUCUGUCAGGAGCCCUGCGUGGCCAUGGAGUGAUUGCCCUUUUGUUCUACAAAUUCCUGGAUAUGACUCACAGAACCGUUUAAGCACGUCUCUCUUCAUGUUCCUAGGAAUUUUCCUGACAAGAGCAGUGCCUAUCCUGAGGCAAUCGUAUUUCUCCUUGACUUCUCUCCAGUAUCAGCUUGUUGCUUGACACCCCUGCACAGCCAACUGUGUAAUGUGGGUGAGUCUAGCUGCAUUUUCUUCAGACACAAGCCUGGCUACCCAGUGCUAAGGUGACAUCAGGCCAGGCCACAGUAAGUCAUUUAUCCUCCACGCCUUCCUCUCCAGCCCUGAGUGAGGUGGAGUCCUUGAAACUAUCACCAUCCAGUGGAAAUCAGUGCUGCACUUUCAGGAGGUUAAGCAUGAAAAGAGCAUAAAAGGUGCUAUUACCCCGUGUCUCAGUAAUUCCCCUUCUGGAAACCUUUUCUGAGGAAAUGAUGUGAAAGGAUUCGGUCAUAGUGGCUGGUAGUUACUGAGCACUCACUAUGUGCUGACACUUAUAAUUGCCAGGUAUAUAUUGACUUAUUUAAUCAUCAUAACAACUCCAGGAGGAAGCAGUCAGGUUAUCCCCAUUUUUCAGAUGAGAGAACCAAAGAACAGUGAGACAAUUGUAUGUAUGUUCAUGCUGCUUAAGUGUGUAGGAGCUGAGAGUGAGCCCAGGUAGUCUGAUUUCACAAGUCCUCACUCUUGACUUCUAUACUAGUGUGGCCUCCAUGCACAAAGCUUGAUAUAAAUAGAAGAGGAAGAAGAAGAAGAAUGAGGAGGGAUGGGAGAGAAGGAAGAAGGGGAGCAGGAGAACAAAAGGAAGGAAAAGAACAGGACAGGAAGGAAGAUUUAGAAUAAAAGUUAAAUUUAUUGUUAUUUAUGAUAGUGAAAAUCUGGGCCAGGGCCAUUUGGGUCAAGUAUUCUGGCAUUACAGGUACCCAGGGUAUUCUGAAGAAAGAGAGUUCUAUGGGUACAGCUGCCUUCUCACUCACUGGGGAGGAGCACAGUACUGAGAGUGGGGCUUACGUUUACAAAGUUGGUAUGAAAAUUAAUAGGCAUCUACAUUCCUAGAUGUCAAUAAAUAGAGUGAGAGUUGUUUGUUUGCUUGCAUAUUGGAAUGGAGAAAAAUAGGUCCAGUCCUAACAAACUUUAAAUUACUUCUGCUCUUCCCUUCUUCCUGAACACUUUCAUCUGUCCACAUUACUAUGCGAAUUUUUUGAUGCUGUCAAUGGGAAUUUUUAAAAUAAGUAUGUUGCUAUGUCAAAAAAUUUGGAAAUUAAAAGAUGUUGUUUUACAUUCUUGGC